CAAAGCAUCCUUCCCGCUCCCAGGGCUGUGAUCACACAUGAGCGCCCAGGGAGACCCGCUGGAAGGUCUCUUUCUUAGACAGUCUGCUACUUAUUGCCAUUUAAUUAUACAUAUAUUUGUCUUUGAAAUGUCUCCCUUCCUCACCAGAGGGCAAGGAUGGCAUGUGCCUGGUACCCCCAGGGCCUGGUACGAGAGGUGGUGAGCGGAUGCUGCCCGUUCACCAGGUGAGUCAUCCCCACAGGUGCUGGACCUGGAGUCGGGGCCUUGGCUUUACCUGCUCACAGGCAAACACGACGCAGUGUGUCUGUUGAGCGACUGCAGGAGUGAUGACCAGUGGAGGCAACAGAGGGACCCCUCACUCGAACGGGAGAGAAGACUGGAGCGGGGCUUCCUGGAGGAGAUGACAUCUGAGUUGAGACCAAAAGAGGAAGCACGCUCAGAAAGAGGAUUCAUCAAAGAGAAGUUAUACAUGUAGCUGUCUUUUGGAUGUCUCUCUUCCUCACCAGAGGCCAAGGAUGGCACGUGCAUGGUAUCCCUGGGGCCUGGCACUUGAGCAGGUUUUCUCGGCUGUGAUUUGGACAAUGUUUUUUCCCUUCUAAACAACCACUCUGGAAAAAGGGACUCUAACUCUGAACGAGCUGGCUUCGAUUGUUCCACUUCUUUCCACAAACAGCACCCCCUUCUCACUCUGCCCCCCCAGUGCCCUGGCCUGGCAUUUCCAACCCAGCGAUGCCUGGGGGUCACCCUGGGGUGGGGAUCAUGGGCAGGGAUCGUGGGCAGUGACUGCUGACCUCCGGGGCCUGGCGUCUCAGCUUUGGGGGCCACACUGUCCAGUCGCUUUGGAGUGGUCCCCAGUCAUGUGUGGGCUCCUGAGGGAGUUUCCUGAGCACCUACUAUGUGCCGGGCACUUGCCGAACGCCUCUCAUCAUUCCUGCCACGGAGGCCUCAGAGGAGGGUGACUGGAGAGGAUAGGACUGGGCUUUGGAGAUGAGUUGGUGUCCGUGCACCUGGCCUGCUGUCUCUGAGCACGUGGAGAGCCCAGCCCUGCCCACAACUCUUCAGUCUCCAUCUGGGGUGGCUCUGUACAGCUUUAUCCAGAACCACCUUCACCUCAACGCCCACUUCGGACUGCUCACGUCUGCUCACAACUGACUCUCACUCGCAUCCAGGCAUCAUGGGCCCCGGCUCAGAGAGGUCAGGGAACUUGCCUGAAGCCACACAGCUGUGGCAACACCGGGCAGGGACUGGACACAGGGUGGUGUGAAUGCUGGCCGAGGAGGGCUGAGGGGCCCUCGGUUCUAGUCCAGCUCUGCAGUCUGGGGGGUCAGGAGUGAGUUCUCUCCACGCAAUGGGCCUGGCCCCAGACACCAGCUCAUCACCACGUCCCUCUGCGGUGGGUGGUGGGCCACUGGAGGGGUCCUCGGGCUUGACUCCGGCUUCAGUGAGGGUGAAAUGGAGCUCCUGGUCCCCCAGGGUGUCAGAGGUGGAGAUGGGGCUGGGGCUGCAGUUUCCUGGGCACCAGGAUUUAGUGAGGUCAGGGCUGGGCAGGAGGGCACACUGUGCUCCCCUUUGCGAGGAUGGUCCCUGGAAGACACCGUCCUCCUGGCAUCUUGGGCUCUGCCAGCUGAAAGACUAGAAAGCUGGUCCCUGUGAGCGCUUGGGGGCCCCUGGACUGCUGGGAUCCUUGAAUUUCACAUCUGCACUCUGUGACUCUGCUGUCUCUCCCCCCGUAACUUAUGGGGAGAAGGAGUCAUGUGAUGCUGGGUAUACCUGUGUCCUCCGGGCAGCCCUCCUGGGCUGCAUCUGGCAACUUGAGGCUUCCGUGGCUGCGUGCUCCUCCUCCGAGACCUCAUCCCCGUGGGACUUGCCCCGUGGCUUCUGUAUAGCUGUGGGUCCUCCUCCAGGAACUUUCCCGAGCCCCGCCCUGGUCACGGCCCCGCCCUCACCUGCAUGCUUCCUCCAGCCCGUAGGCUGUGGUCCCAGCACCUGAAAACUGCUGGUGGAUGC